UUAGGGCUCAUAAAGUGCGGCUCCUUAUGCCUUCCACAACUUUCUUCUCCUUUCUCUCCAUUUUGAACGCUACAGAACUCUCUGCAGCCAAUCUCUCUCAAAACUUCAUUCUCCCAAACAAAAUCAAAAUCAAAAUCAAAAUACGAAACGCAAGUUGACCAAUCAUUCUCCAAAUCUUUUACCAGGUGAAUCUUCUGUCAGAUGCACACGACAUGUCGGGAGGAUUCCUGGUGACCAGUAGCAACUUGAUGAACCUAUGAAGACGACAAAAUGUCCCAAAAUCUUUAGUAGAGCAGAAGAGCAUCACACACAUAAUAGCCUUCAUUUCUUUUCUUUAUUUUUUCUUUUCUGACUCUCACAUGGAAUCUUCAUCGUCUUCUUUCUCUAGCGAGAUGGUCAAUACGGUGGUGAUCUACACUACUUUCUCUUGCACUCGAAAUUUUUCCAUCUCCCUAUUUGAGCUUCUCUUUUGUUCUGCCAAUUUCCAAUCUCUCAUCUUUUUUCUUGCUUACGAGAAAGGACUCCUCUUAUGGUGUUUGGAGGAUACAUCCAAUUCGUGGUAUCUAUAAGAAGCCCUAUUUUUUCUCUCUGACAGCAAAUUGUAAAAUUCAAAACAGAGCAAGUUAGUUGUUUGUGAAUCGAAGUAGUUAAGAACCAUUGUGGCAAUUUGCAGAUUCAUGAACAGGUUCCUCUCCCUUCUUUGCAGAACUUUUGAAAUUUUAUAAGAUCAUUAGUUGUCAAACUAGGUUAUGUUCUGAAUGCUCAGUAAUAUUGUAGACUUUUAUCUAUUUGAUAGGUAUAUCUUUAGAUUUGAUUCGAACAUAGGUCCCUUAGAAAUUUUUAAAUGUCUAAGAAGGUCGUUGGAUGAAAAGCUUCUUACCCCUACCUCUUGGUCGUCCUUCUUGGUUUAAGGAGACUUGAUUGUGAUCAAUGUGCUAUUUGAGUCAAAUCAUGCAUACAGUGAUGCUUUAUCCUCCUUCCUUCAUUGUCUUCAUUAUUUUAUAAUAAAAAGCCUUGUCUUCUUCA